rnacentral:lncRNA from 1 species
GGGGAAAGUCUAAAUAAUUGACCAUAAGGAAUGAGUUAAGUAAAUGAUGAUGCAUCUACUUGAGCGAUUAUUAUCUCAUUUUUAAAGGGAUGAUUAUUUCAAAAUUUUGCAAAAUGAAGAAACGCUAAUGACAAUGUUAAAUUAGAAAAACAAACGUCAACCCUCAAAUUGUGGUUCAAAAUUGUGUUAGUCAGGAGAGGGUAGGUCACGCAGGAGUAAGAAACAACCUAAAAAUCUCAAUGGUUUAAGACAAUGAAAGUUUGUUUACGGCUCGCAAUUAGUCGGUUGCCUCUUGGGCAGGUUCUCCCCGCCUCCGUCCCGUGCAUCGUCCAUCUUUCUCGCCACUUUGUUGGAGCGCGGGAUGAAUGACGUCCUCGCGAAGCACCGUGCUAGCCAAUUACUGGAGUUUCUGCCUCCUCCUGUAGACACGUGGCUGUCCACAGUCAGAAAUCAUCAGACAUGUCAAGAUCAAACAUCAUGCAAAUCAGCAUUUAGAGGACAAGCAAAAACAAAGGAAGUCCUGCCCCGGAAAUGACUCCCAGUAUUAUGAGGGAGGCACUGCUGGUAAGGGAGUCUCUGCUCAGGUGGCACAAGCGCCAACGGGAAGCUUGGCUCAGCGCCUUCUCAUCUCCUCCGAGGCAGGGUGCCUGCUGAGAUCAGCCCGGGAUGACUCUGCCUGCAUAACCCAUCAUCCUGACAGCAGAGCUACAAUUUGUCUGACUCCAUGUCAUAGUUCAUCUUGUGCUGUCACUUUCAGUCCGGCCGCUAAUAUUACUCACGAGAGUCCAAGAGGGUUGAAGCUAAGAUCAUUGAUGACAGUUGUCCGGUUUCCUGCAGCACAAACACCUUGUGGAGGAGGGCAUUUGAUUGAAAAUCUCUUGCUCCAGCCCGGAAAGCCUACAUCUAUGGCCGCAUGGGGAGUUACCUACAACGAGUUGACUGAGGAAGAUAAAACACGGGCCUGGUUUACAGAUGGUUCUGUUCAAUAUGCAGGCACCACCAGAAUGUAGACAGCUGUAAUGCUAAAGCUCCUUUCUAAGACUUCCCUGAAGAAAUUGGAGAAGAGAAAUCUUCCCAACAGACAGAACUUUGAGCAGUGCACCUGGUUAUUCAUUUUGCUUAGAAGGAGAUGGCCAGAGCAUCAGAAAGCGGGAAGGAAUGUCUGCCCUGUUCUCAGCCACAUCCCAAGAUUUUCAACCCCACCUCUGAGCUCUGAGAAGAGUCAUCACGUUCCAUGGGUGAAGAGGCAUCCUACCUCUCUAGGUCUUGAAAGAUCCCUAGACUAUAGUUAAAAAAAAAAGAAGAUGGAUAAUUUAAAGGGCAGUGUAAACAAUAAAACUACUAAAGGUCAAUUGAUCUGAACUGUCUGGCAGCCAGAGCCUGGGGCCCUCAGUGAUAGGAGAGCGAGGCUGCAGUUACAGAGCGCUGGGUCAGUGCCAGCUCAAA